rnacentral:piRNA from 1 species
UGGCCAACACUUAACUGAAAAGUCAGAGU